UACGUAGGGGGCAAGCGUUGUCCGGAAUCAUUGGGCGUAAAGAGCGUGUAGGCGGCCCGAUAAGUCCGCUGUGAAAGUCCAGGGCUCAACCCUGGGAUGCUGGUGGAUACUGUCGGGCUUGAGUCCGGAAGAGGAGUGUGGAAUUCCUGGUGUAGCGGUGAAAUGCGCAGAUAUCAGGAGGAACACCAAUGGCGAAGGCAGCACUCUGGGACGUGACUGACGCUGAGACGCGAAAGCGUGGGGAGCAAACAGG
rnacentral:rRNA from 1 species